AUGAUCAGAAACUUAGCCUGGAUCCUAAGGCUGUCUUUCAUGUAGAAGAUAAGGAUUUAAACACAAUUCCGAUUGUAGCUAGUAGAGAUACAGAAAAUGAUGCAGUAACAACCACUGAUAGUCUUCCUGAAGAUACAAUUGACAAAGACAAAUUGAUCUCCUUUCUUGAGGAAGAUUUGCAAUACCUUAGAGCAAGAAUUGCAGAACUUGAACAGAAUCAUCA
rnacentral:misc_RNA from 1 species